CACUCAACCAGAGUUACGUGGUAAUCAUCCCCUGUGCUCGGACUAAUGUCCGGAUUGCACCCAGGCAGAUACCCGCAACAAUCUCCCCCGAACUACUUCGAAUAGGUACAAUUUAUACAUCACAGCUCUCUUUAAUUUUGCAUACGUGUUGACACCAUACUCUAACCCACGCAAACAAA